GAUGAAGAACGUAGCGAAAUGCGAUAAGUAAUGUGAAUUGCAGAAUUCAGUGAAUCAUCGAAUCUUUGAACGCACAUUGCGCCCCCUGGUAUUCCGGGGGGCAUGCCUGUCCGAGCGUCAUUACAACCCUCAAGCUCAGCUUGGUGUUGGGCCCCGCCGCCCCGGCGGGCCCUAAAGUCAGUGGCGGUGCCGUCCGGCUCCGAGCGUAGUAAUUCUUCUCGCUCUGGAGGUCAGGUCGUGUGCUCGCCAGCAACCCCCAAUUUUUUUCAGGUUGACCUCGGAUCAGGUAGGGAUACCCGCUGAACUUAAGCAUAUCAAUAAGCGGAGGA
rnacentral:misc_RNA from 1 species